rnacentral:tRNA from 1 species
GCCGAAGUGGCGGAAUUGGUAGACGCAGCGGAUUCAAAAUCCGCCGCCCUUAAAAGCGUGUGGGUUCGAUUCCCACCUCCGGCA